rnacentral:rRNA from 1 species
NNNNNNNNNNNNNNNNNNNNNNNNNNNNNNNNNNNNNNNNNNNNNNNNNNNNNNNNNNNNNNACGACGAUAUGCUUUGGGGAGCUGUAAGUAAGCUUUGAUCCAGAGAUUUCCGAAUGGGGAAACCCAGCAUGAGUUAUGUCAUGUUAUCGAUAUGUGAAUACAUAGCAUAUCAGAAGGCACACCCGGAGAACUGAAACAUCUUAGUACCCGGAGGAAGAGAAAGAAAAUUCGAUUCCCUUAGUAGCGGCGAGCGAAACGGGAAGAGCCCAAACCAACAAGCUUGCUUGUUGGGGUUGUAGGACACUCUAUACGGAGUUACAAAGGACGACAUUAGACGAAUCAUCUGGAAAGAUGAAUCAAAGAAGGUAAUAAUCCUGUAGUCGAAAAUGUUGUCUCUCUUGAGUGGAUCCUGAGUACGACGGAGCACGUGAAAUUCCGUCGGAAUCUGGGAGGACCAUCUCCUAAGGCUAAAUACUCUCUAGUGACCGAUAGUGAACCAGUACCGUGAGGGAAAGGUGAAAAGCACCCCGGAAGGGGAGUGAAAUAGAACCUGAAACCGUGUGCUUACAAGUAGUCAGAGCCCGUUAAUGGGUGAUGGCGUGCCUUUUGUAGAAUGAACCGGCGAGUUACGAUUUGAUGCAAGGUUAAGCAGUAAAUGUGGAGCCGUAGCGAAAGCGAGUCUGAAUAGGGCGUUUAGUAUUUGGUCGUAGACCCGAAACCAGGUGAUCUACCCUUGGUCAGGUUGAAGUUCAGGUAACACUGAAUGGAGGACCGAACCGACUUACGUUGAAAAGUGAGCGGAUGAACUGAGGGUAGCGGAGAAAUUCCAAUCGAACCUGGAGAUAGCUGGUUCUCUCCGAAAUAGCUUUAGGGCUAGCCUCAAGUGAUGAUUAUUGGAGGUAGAGCACUGUUUGGACGAGGGGCCCCUCUCGGGUUACCGAAUUCAGACAAACUCCGAAUGCCAAUUAAUUUAACUUGGGAGUCAGAACAUGGGUGAUAAGGUCCGUGUUCGAAAGGGAAACAGCCCAGACCACCAGCUAAGGUCCCAAAAUAUAUGUUAAGUGGAAAAGGAUGUGGCGUUGCCCAGACAACUAGGAUGUUGGCUUAGAAGCAGCCAUCAUUUAAAGAGUGCGUAAUAGCUCACUAGUCGAGUGACACUGCGCCGAAAAUGUACCGGGGCUAAACAUAUUACCGAAGCUGUGGAUUGUCCUUUGGACAAUGGUAGGAGAGCGUUCUAAGGGCGUUGAAGCAUGAUCGUAAGGACAUGUGGAGCGCUUAGAAGUGAGAAUGCCGGUGUGAGUAGCGAAAGACGGGUGAGAAUCCCGUCCACCGAUUGACUAAGGUUUCCAGAGGAAGGCUCGUCCGCUCUGGGUUAGUCGGGUCCUAAGCUGAGGCCGACAGGCGUAGGCGAUGGAUAACAGGUUGAUAUUCCUGUACCACCUAUAAUCGUUUUAAUCGAUGGGGGGACGCAGUAGGAUAGGCGAAGCGUGCGAUUGGAUUGCACGUCUAAGCAGUAAGGCUGAGUAUUAGGCAAAUCCGGUACUCGUUAAGGCUGAGCUGUGAUGGGGAGAAGACAUUGUGUCUUCGAGUCGUUGAUUUCACACUGCCGAGAAAAGCCUCUAGAUAGAAAAUAGGUGCCCGUACCGCAAACCGACACAGGUAGUCAAGAUGAGAAUUCUAAGGUGAGCGAGCGAACUCUCGUUAAGGAACUCGGCAAAAUGACCCCGUAACUUCGGGAGAAGGGGUGCUCUUUAGGGUUAACGCCCAGAAGAGCCGCAGUGAAUAGGCCCAAGCGACUGUUUAUCAAAAACACAGGUCUCUGCUAAACCGUAAGGUGAUGUAUAGGGGCUGACGCCUGCCCGGUGCUGGAAGGUUAAGAGGAGUGGUUAGCUUCUGCGAAGCUACGAAUCGAAGCCCCAGUAAACGGCGGCCGUAACUAUAACGGUCCUAAGGUAGCGAAAUUCCUUGUCGGGUAAGUUCCGACCCGCACGAAAGGCGUAACGAUUUGGGCACUGUCUCAACGAGAGACUCGGUGAAAUCAUAGUACCUGUGAAGAUGCAGGUUACCCGCGACAGGACGGAAAGACCCCGUGGAGCUUUACUGUAGCCUGAUAUUGAAAUUCGGCACAGCUUGUACAGGAUAGGUAGGAGCCUUUGAAACGUGAGCGCUAGCUUACGUGGAGGCGCUGGUGGGAUACUACCCUAGCUGUGUUGGCUUUCUAACCCGCACCACUUAUCGUGGUGGGAGACAGUGUCAGGCGGGCAGUUUGACUGGGGCGGUCGCCUCCUAAAAGGUAACGGAGGCGCUCAAAGGUU